rnacentral:rRNA from 1 species
AUAGAACGCUGGCGGCAGGCUUAACACAUGCAAGUCGAGCGGAGAUGAGGUGCUUGCACCUUAUCUUAGCGGCGGACGGGUGAGUAAUGCUUAGGAAUCUGCCUAUUAGUGGGGGACAACAUUCCGAAAGGAAUGCUAAUACCGCAUACGUCCUACGGGAGAAAGCAGGGGAUCUUCGGACCUUGCGCUAAUAGAUGAGACUAAGUCGGAUUAGCUAGUUGGUGGGGUAAAGGCCUACCAAGGCGACGAUCUGUAGCGGGACUGAGAGGAUGAUCCGCCAAGCUGGGACGGAGACACGGCCCAGACUCCUACGGGAGGCAGCAGUGGGGAAUAUUGGACAAUGGGGGGAACCCUGAUCCAGCCAUGCCGCGUGUGUGAAGAAGGCCUUAUGGUUGUAAAGCACUUUAAGCGAGGAGGAGGCUACUGAGACUAAUACUCUUGGAUAGUGGACGUUACUCGCAGAAUAAGCACCGGCUAACUCUGUGCCAGCAGCCGCGGUAACAC